GGGCAGGUGGCGGAACUGGCAGACGCAGCGGACUUAAAAUCCGUUGCCCGCAAGGGCGUGUGGGUUCAAAUCCCUCCCUGCCCA
rnacentral:tRNA from 1 species